rnacentral:rRNA from 1 species
CGCCUGGGGAGUACGGCCGCAAGGUUAAAACUCAAAUGAAUUGACGGGGGCCCGCACAAGCGGUGGAGCAUGUGGUUUAAUUCGACGCAACGCGAAGAACCUUACCUGGCCUUGACAUGCAGAGAACUUUCCAGAGAUGGAUUGGUGCCUUCGGGAACUCUGACACAGGUGCUGCAUGGCCGUCGUCAGCUCGUGUCGUGAGAUGUUGGGUUAAGUCCCGUAACGAGCGCAACCCCUAUCCCUAGUUGCUAGCAGUUCGGCUGAGAACUCUAGGGAGACUGCCGGUGACAAACCGGAGGAAGGCGGGGAUGACGUCAGGUCAUCAUGGCCCUUAUGGCCAGGGCUACACACGUGCUACAAUGGCGCGCACAGAGGGCUGCAAACCCGCGAGGGGGAGCCAAUCUCACAAAACGCGUCGUAGUCCGGAUCGCAGUCUGCAACUCGACUGCAUGAAGUCGGAAUCGCUAGUAAUCGUGAAUCAGAAUGUCACGGUGAAUACGUUCCCGGGCCUUGUACACACCGCCCGUCACACCAUGGGAGUGGAUUGCACCAGAAGUGGUUAGUCUAACCUUCGGGAGGACGAUCACCACGGUGUGGUUCAUGACUGGGGUGAAGUCGUAACAAGGUAACCGUA